rnacentral:rRNA from 1 species
GUCUAUAGCCAUACCACCCUGAACAUACCCGAUCUUGUCUGAUCUUGGAAGCAAAGCAGGGUGGAGCCUGGGUAGCACUUGGAUGGGAAAACAUGUGAAGAUAAAUGUGUAUAUUGGGAACUAUGGGGU